UGAGCAAUCUGCCCUUCACAUCGGAAUAACCAUUGGAAACGAUGGCUAAUACCGAAUAUGACUUCGGAUCGCAUGAUCUGAAGUGGGAAGCUCCGGCGGUGAAGGAUGAGCUCGCGGCCUAUCAGCUUGUUGGUGAGGUAAUAGCUCACCGAGGCGAUGACGGGUAGCCGGCCUGAGAGGGUGACCGGCCACACUGGGACUGAGACACCGGCA
rnacentral:rRNA from 1 species